rnacentral:snoRNA from 1 species
AAUGCUCUGAUGAGGUUACCCUAAUGUUGUUUGGCAAUGGCGGCUUUGUUGUCGUGAGCCUUCACAAAAAAAAAACGACUUCUUCUUCCACUAAGCGUU